rnacentral:rRNA from 1 species
AUUGAACGCUGGCGGCAGGCCUAACACAUGCAAGUCGAACGGUAGCACAGAGAGCUUGCUCUCGGGUGACGAGUGGCGGACGGGUGAGUAAUGUCUGGGAAACUGCCUGAUGGAGGGGGAUAACUACUGGAAACGGUAGCUAAUACCGCAUAACGUCGCAAGACCAAAGAGGGGGACCUUCGGGCCCCUUGCCAUCAGAUGUGCCCAGAUGGGAUUAGCUAGUAGGUGGGGUAACGGCUCACCUAGGCGACGAUCCCUAGCUGGUCUGAGAGGAUGACCAGCCACACUGGAACUGAGACACGGUCCAGACUCCUACGGGAGGCAGCAGUGGGGAAUAUUGCACAAUGGGCGCAAGCCUGAUGCAGCCAUGCCGCGUGUAUGAAGAAGGCCUUCGGGUUGUAAAGUACUUUCAGCGGGGAGGAAGGUGUUGUGGUUAAUAACCACAGCAAUUGACGUAC